GAGGAACCCCAUCAAACUUGGAUUUUGUAAGUAGUUGCGAAUGAACACAAAUUUGAUCACUUUGGCAAUCUGUACACAUUGCUGUGUAACAAUUUGUAUACGUUGGCACAGUGCUAUCAAAGCUGCAUGCAAGUGUUUUUUGAAAGGAUACAACAUGGGAUGUGAUAUUCAUGUGUGUGUGCCUGCUUUGUCCACAGCCUGUGCUGUAUGAAUCACAUUUCUUGCAACUGAAAUGCUAAUGGCAUGGUAAAGUUCAUGUGACAUGACACAAGCUUGAGAUUCAUGAUGUGCAAGUACCAUGAGGGAAAUGUGAAAAGGACUUUGGAAAGAAAAUUAAAUAAAGCCUGCAUUUGCUGACAAUGAAAGCAAGUGUGGAUGUUCAUGUAAUUGUUACUGCAUCAAUCAAUGUUCAUCUUGGUUACUGCAUGCUUUAUAUUACAGCUCAAAACAUGAAGUGUGUGUAACAGCUCUGCUUUGAUUUUUCCCACAUGGGAUCAGUUGAAACAUUGUGAGAGCACUCUUCAGUUUCCUUAUGUACCCACCAGCUUUGUCCACUCGCGUGUUGGCACACAUGUAAUGAUGAUGUGUUUAUGCAAGAUACUUCUGUGCUCAACAACAUGUUGUGUCAAUCCUCACUU
rnacentral:rRNA from 1 species